CGAGCAGGCGGCCUUUUAAGUCAGGUGUGAAAGCCCGGGGCUUAACCCCGGAAGUGCAUCUGAAACUAAAAGGCUUGAGUAUGGGAGAGGGAAGUGGAAUUCCUGGUGUAGCGGUGAAAUGCGUAGAUAUCAGGAGGAACACCGGUGGCGAAGGCGACUUCCUGGACCAAUACUGACGCUGAGGCGCGAAGGCGUGGGGAGCAAACA
rnacentral:rRNA from 1 species